rnacentral:rRNA from 1 species
CCUACGGGAGGCAGCAGUGAGGAAUAUUGGUCAAUGGACGAGAGUCUGAACCAGCCAAGUAGCGUGAAGGAUGACUGCCCUAUGGGUUGUAAACUUCUUUUAUAUGGGAAUAAAAUGUUCCACGUGUGGGAGUUUGUAUGUACCAUAUGAAUAAGGAUCGGCUAACUCCGUGCCAGCAGCCGCGGUAAUACGGAGGAUCCGAGCGUUAUCCGGAUUUAUUGGGUUUAAAGGGAGCGUAGGUGGAUUGUUAAGUCAGUUGUGAAAGUUUGCGGCUCAACCGUAAAAUUGCAGUUGAAACUGGCAGUCUUGAGUACGGUAGAGGGGGGCGGAAUUCGUGGUGUAGCGGUGAAAUGCUUAGAUAACACGAAGAACUCCGAUUGCGGAGGCAGCUCACUGGACUGCAACUGACACUGAGGGUCGAAAGUGUGGGUAUCAAACAGGAUUAGAUACCCGGGUAGUC